rnacentral:tRNA from 1 species
UGAGAUAUGGUGUAAUGGCAGCACAAGAGAUUCUGGUCCUCUUAGUCCUGGUUCGAAUCCGGGUAUCUCAACCA